GGAAUGCACAUGCAGUCUUGGAACAUCCCCAGCUGCUCGCCUGCAGCAGGAUGGACACUCGCCACUGAAGCGUUGCCACCUCUUUGGGGUUACACAAGGUCGUACACCAUCCUCAGCAUGGUGCUUUGCUGGGUGCUCUUGAUACGAGCUCAGCUGCUUGUUUGCCCCAGAGCAGUUCAGAUAUUCCUGCCUAUCCCUUGGUAAAAUAUUUACUAUGCAGUCUUAUCACCUCCCUAGAAGGCUUUGUUGGAGCUGGCUGAUGCAUUAAUUCGUUCAGGAUCUAACUUGGGGUUUUUCUACAGAGGCCUGGACCACGUCCAACAGCAUUAAGAAAGAAACCUUCCUUUCUUACUACAUUCUUUUAGGCAGGCUUGCACCUGAAACCUGAACUGCAUGUGGCACUGAGAUGGCUGCACGGAGCUGCCCUCCUUUCUCCUGAGGUUGGCUGUGACCAUUGGUUUGCAUGUGGGGAAAAGCACCCACUUAACAAGCCAGUUGUCACCUCUCCAGACACAGGAUAAAAAUGAAUGAGCUGAAGAAGAGCCAGGUUAGAGUCUGGGGAACAUUUUCUGACGCAAAGUGUAUGAGGCAGUGGCCCUGGCUGCCCAGGAAUGCAUGUGUGAGAAGAGUUUCAGCUUGACACUUAAAGGUUUCAGCAAGGUGCUAUCGUUCCUGGAUCUCAUCCAGUCAUGCGAACAAGCAAGCCUUCACUCAGGAUUAUCAACAAGAAAUUCCUUCCUAGGAUAAAUGAAUGGCUGAUGAUGAUGAA